UAAGUAGGGGGCAAGCGUUGUCCGGAUUUACUGGGUGUAAAGGGCGCGUAGGCGGGUUUGUAAGUUAGAGGUGAAAUCCUGCAGCUUAACUGUCGAACUGCCUCUGAUACUGCAAAUCUUGAGUUCAGAAGAGAGUAGCGGAAUUCCAGGUGUAGUGGUGAAAUACGUAGAUAUCUGGAAGAACACCAGUGGCGAAGGCGGCUACUUGGUCUGCAACUGACGCUGAGGCGCGAAAGCGUGGGGAUCAAACAGG
rnacentral:rRNA from 1 species